CCUACGGUGGGCAGCAGUGAGGAAUAUUGGUCAAUGGGCGGAAGCCUGAACCAGCCAAGUAGCGUGCGGGAUGAAGGCCCUACGGGUCGUAAACCGCUUUUGCACGGGGAUAACACCCUCCACUUGUGGACGUCUGCAGGUACCGUGCGAAUAAGGGCUGGCCAAUUCCGUGCCAGCAGCCGCGGUCAUACGGAAGGCCCGAGGUUUAUCCGGAUUAAUUGGGCUAAAAGGGAGCGUAGGCGGGCGUUCAAGUCAGCUGUAAAAUCGCGCGGCUCAACCGCGCCCCGCAGUUGAAACUGGCCGCAUUGAGUUCACAACAGGCAGGCGGAAGUCGUGGUAUAGCGGUGAAAUGCAUAGAUAUCACGAGGAACCCCGAUUGCGAAGGCAGCCUGCCGGGGUGCGACUGACGCUGAGGCUCGAAGGUGCGGGUAUCAAACAGGAUUAGAUACCCCGGUAGUC
rnacentral:rRNA from 1 species